UACAGAGGUCUCAAGCGUUGUUCGGAUUCAUUGGGCGUAAAGGGUGCGUAGGUGGCGCCGUAAGUCGGGUGUGAAAUUUCGGAGCUUAACUCCGAAACUGCAUUCGAUACUGCGGUGCUUGAGGACUGGAGAGGAGACUGGAAUUCAUGGUGUAGCAGUGAAAUGCGUAGAGAUCAUGAGGAAGACCAGUGGCGAAGGCGGGUCUCUGGACAGUUCCUGACACUGAGACACGAAGGCCAGGGGAGCAAACGGG
rnacentral:rRNA from 1 species